AUUGAAAUCAUUAUGUACAAAACGUGUCAAGAUAUCUGUGAGGUCUGGAAUUUUCCACAAUGUCUAAACUGAGACAGACAGCCUUAAAACAGAUAUGGUUCAAAGGAAUUGAACUAAAGGGUUACCUAAGCAUGACUUAGACUGGGCUGGUUUCAAUAGUACUAGUCACUGAGAUAAUGGUAGCUGCAGCAAUAGUAGCAGCAGUGGCAGUAUUAAGUAGUGGUGGUAGUAGUAGUAGUAGUAGUAGUAGUAGUAGUAGUAGUAGUGGCAGUAGUGGCAGUAUUAAGUAGUGGUGGUAGUAGUAGUAGUAGUAGUAGUAGUGGUAGUAGUAGUAGUAGUGGUAGUAGUAGUAGUAGUAGUGGUAGUAGUAGUAGUAGUAGUAGUAGUAGUAGUAGUAGUAGUAGUAGUAUAGUAGUAGUAGUAGUGGUAGUAGUAGUAGUAGUAGUAGUAGUAGUAGUGGUAGUGGUAGUGGUAGUAGUGGUAGUGGUAGUAGUAGUGGUAGUAGUGGUAGUGGUAGUGGUAGUAGUAAUAGUAGUAGUAGUAGUAGUAGUAGUGGUAGUAGUGGUAGUAGUAGUAGUAGUAGUAGUGGUAGUGGUAGUGGUAGUAGUAGUAGUAUAGAGCAUUUUUUUUAACCCCUCACCUUCCAUCUUAGAAUCAGUACUGUGUAUUGGUUCCAAGGAAAAGAGUAGUGAGGGCAAGGCAAAUGAGGGUUAAGUGACUUGCUCAGGGUCACACAGUGAGGAAGUGUCUGAACCCAGGACCUCCUAUCCCUAGGCCUGGAUCUCAAUCCACUGAGCCACCCAGCUGCCCCCAUGGAGCAUUUCUUAACAAGUCUUUGGCACUCUUUACCUCUAAAUCACUUUAUAAUGACAUAGAUGUAUGUUUGCUCUGCCAAACAGAAAUUUUAAAAAACAACAGCUCCUCGAGGAAAGGAGGUAUUUCAUAUUUUCCUUUGCACACUGCUGCCUACAAGUACCUUGUACAUAGUCAUUACCCGAUAAAUGUUUGUUAAAUUGAAACUU
rnacentral:lncRNA from 1 species